rnacentral:rRNA from 1 species
AUUGAACGCUGGCGGCAGGCCUAACACAUGCAAGUCGAGCGAGCGGCGGACGGGUGAGUAAUGUCUGGGAAACUGCCUGAUGGAGGGGGAUAACUACUGGAAACGGUAGCUAAUACCGCAUACCAUCAGAUGUGCCCCGAGGGGAUUGGCUAGUGGGUGGGGUAACGGCUAACCUAGGCGACGAUCCGUAACUGGGCUGAGAGGAUGAUCAGUCACCAUGGAACUGAGACACGGUCCAGACUCCUACGGGAGGCAGCAGUUGGGAAUAUUGGACAAUGGGCGAAAGCCUGAUCCAGCCAUGCCGCGUGGGUGAAGAAGGUCUUCGGAUUGUAAAGCACUUUAAGUUGGGAGGCGUUACCAACAGAAUAAGCACCGGCUAACUUCGUGCCAGCAGCCGCGGUAAUAC